CAGACUGUGGCUUCACUUCGGUGUCCUAUCAGCAGGGCAUCCUGUCUGCCACCAUCCUCUAUGAGAUCCUGCUGGGGAAGGCCACCCUGUAUGCCGUGCUGGUCAGCGCCCUGGUGCUGAUGGCCAAGGUCAAGAGAAAGGGUUCCUGAAACUAGCUCAGCGGCAGAGCCAGGACUUUCCAGCUUCUAUUGCCCCAGUAUGGAUUCUCCUUUCUCCACUUCCAGCCAGUGCUUCUCAAGAGCUGUUUUCAUCUCUCUGCUCACCCCAAUAGCUACCCCCUAUGUUCGUGCACACCUGGACGCUCAUGACCCAAAUCUCCCUAACCCAGGCGGGACCCUAGCCUGACUAAAUUGACUGAAUCAAUAAAAAUGGCCUGUUCUGGCUUGACUCUGCCUUGUGAUGUCUGGAUAUCUCUUCUGCCCAUGGCUGACCUCCC